rnacentral:rRNA from 1 species
UACGUAGGGUGCGAGCGUUACUCGGAAUUACUGGGCGUAAAGCGUGCGUAGGCGGUUUUCUAAGUCUGCCGUGAAAGCCCCGGGCUCAACCUGGGAAUGGCGGUGGAUACUGGAAAGCUGGAGUGCGGUAGAGGAGGGUGGAAUUCCCGGUGUAGCGGUGAAAUGCGUAGAGAUCGGGAGGAACAUCAGUGGCGAAGGCGGCCCUCUGGACCAGCACUGACGCUGAGGCACGAAAGCGUGGGGAGCAAACAGG